UGGGGAAUAUUGGACAAUGGGCGCAAGCCUGAUCCAGCCAUGCCGCGUGAGUGAUGAAGGUCUUAGGAUUGUAAAGCUCUUUCACCGGUGAAGAUAAUGACGGUAACCGGAGAAGAAGCCCCGGCUAACUUCGUG
rnacentral:rRNA from 1 species